rnacentral:rRNA from 1 species
UAAGGAAUAUUGGUCAAUGGGCGGAAGCCUGAACCAGCCAUGCCGCGUGCAGGAAGACGGCCCUACGGGUUGUAAACUGCUUUUAUACGGGAAUAAACCCUGAUACGUGUAUCAGGCUGAAUGUACUGUAAGAAUAAGGAUCGGCUAACUCCGUGCCAGCAGCCGCGGUAAUACGGAGGAUCCAAGCGUUAUCCGGAUUUAUUGGGUUUAAAGGGUGCGUAGGUGGCCUGGUAAGUCAGGGGUGAAAGACGGUAGCUUAACUAUCGCAGUGCCUUUGAUACUGCCGGGCUUGAAUAAACUAGAGGUAGGCGGAAUGUGACAAGUAGCGGUGAAAUGCAUAGAUAUGUCACAGAACACCGAUUGCGAAGGCAGCUUACUAUGGUUUGAUUGACACUGAGGCACGAAAGCGUGGGGAUCAAACA